rnacentral:lncRNA from 1 species
UAAGCUUUUGGUAUGUUGAACGUUAUUAACGUAUUUAAAGUUCUUUAAUUUGUAGUUGUAUUUAAACUAGCUCGCAAUGGAGGGAAUAAAAUUUAUUGCAAAAGAAAAAAAAAAAACUGUUUCGCUUUAGUUAAGAUGGCUCUUUACUUUGCCUAGACGGAAUAGAUUGAGCACUCGAUCGAUAGCAAAACUGCAAGAAGCUUAAUCAAAUUCAAGAUGACGUUUGAAAAUAUACAAAGAAAAGAAGAAGAAAAAUAAACAUUGUGUAACUUAAUUAUGCCCCUGCCGACUUUUACAGACCCCACAAACAAAACACUUAAGCGGUGCUUCACGAUAGAUUGGGUGCUACCCAAACAUUUGGUUUCUUAUUCCUAUUUAGCAUACCUUUGGCACCAAGCACUCUAUUAGCUCCCUUCCUUUUUCCUUUUUGUCAAUAAGUAGUUCCCUUCCAGUUCCACCCUGUUUGGUAGGAUGGAAAGAUAUCAAAUAGAUAAAAAUAAAAUUAACGAGUAAAAGUAAGUGAGACAUAAAAAAAAUUGAUUGAAAAAAAAAAUAGAUAAAAAAUGACUAAAAGUAAAUAAUAUAAGUGGUUCUCACCAUUUAAAAACAUUUUUACUCUCAAUAUCUCCUCUAGGAAACAUAUCCUUGGUUUCAUACACUGCAGAAAAGACUUUUUUCUUUCCACACUUUAGUUUUCUUAGUUGAAUAUUGAGUGUGGUCCUGUGGGCUAACACUAGGGCCUAGCCUAAUAAGUUGUUCAGAAUUCAGAUGUUGCAAUCACCGGCCAUCUUGUACAAUUUUUUAAUUAUAAAAUAAUGUAUUACAGCAUGACGUGUGCCGCGUAAUAUUUAGCCAAGUGAUGUUUUUAUAGCUAUUUUUUUUUGGCCUCUUGUGGUUAGGAUGCAAAAUUGGUUAGUUGAAGGAUUCCAAUAAUGUGAAUCAGGCAGGAAUUAAAACAAAUGAAAAUAAUAAUAGUUUACUUGAGUUGUUGGAUAGAGAAGAAAGAGAACCAGAAAUCAAAGCUAUCUAUGCAUUCACCUUUGGAAAGCAAAUUUAAAAUUUGUCACUGAUGCAUGGCAUGGGAUGGCAUAUGUAGCCUUUACCCAUCAAAGAAAAUAAAAUAAGAUUAUACAAGUAUGUCAUGGACUCUCAUGGCUAUGCACACUUUCUUUCCAUCCUAAUACGCUUUUUUCAUAAAAGGAAACACUAUUGAAAAAA